rnacentral:rRNA from 1 species
UACGGAGGGGGCUAGCGUUGUUCGGAAUUACUGGGCGUAAAGCGCACGUAGGCGGCUUUGUAAGUUAGAGGUGAAAGCCCGGAGCUUAACUCCGGAAUUGCCUUUAAGACUGCAUCGCUAGAAUUGUGGAGAGGUAAGUGGAAUUCCGAGUGUAGAGGUGAAAUUCGUAGAUAUUUCGGAAGAACAACCAGUGGCGAAGGCGACUUUACUGGACA